GUUUUAGUAGCUAAUUUAAGCGCCAGGCUUUUAACUUGGAGAUACACUAGUUGUCUAGGAUA
rnacentral:tRNA from 1 species